rnacentral:ncRNA from 1 species
CUUGACUGAGUGUCGGCGCCGGCCGGAACGUUUACUUUGAAAAAAUUAGAGUGUUCAAAGCAGGCUCUCGAGCCUGGAUAAUGGUGCAUGGAAUAAUGGAAUAGGACCUCGGUUCUAUUUUGUUGGUUUUCGGAGCGCGAGGUAAUGAUUAAGAGGGACAGACGGGGGCAUUCGUACUGUGCCGUUAGAGGUGAAAUUCUUGGAUCGGCGCAAGACGAACGACUGCGAAAGCAUUUGCCAAGAAUGUUUUCUUUAAUCAAGAGCGAAAGUCAGAGGUUCGAAGACGAUCAGAUACCGUCCUAGUUCUGACUAUAAACGAUGCCAACUAGCGAUCGGGGGGCGUUACAUUGACGACCCCUCCGGCAGCUUACGGGAAACCAAAGUCUUUGGGUUCCGGGGGAAGUAUGGUUGCAAAGCUGAAACUUAAAGGAAUUGACGGAAGGGCACCACCAGGAGUGGAGCCUGCGGCUUAAUUUGACUCAACACGGGAAAUCUCACCCGGCCCGGACACAGUGAGGAUUGACAGAUUGAGAGCUCUUUCUUGAUUCUGUGGGUGGUGGUGCAUGGCCGUUCUUAGUUGGUGGAGCGAUUUGUCUGGUUAAUUCCGAUAACGAACGAGACUCUGGCUUGCUAAAUAGUUACGCGACCAUCCCGGUCGGCGUUUAACUUCUUAGAGGGAC